GGGCCCGAGUGUUGUCGGCUGGGAAAUGGCGGCCGCGGGCUUGGUCGCUGUGGCAGCGGCUGCCGAGUACUCUGGCACGGUAGCGUCGGGAGGUAACCUCCCUGGUGUUCACUGCGGCCCAAGCUCCGGGGCAGGCCCUGGUUUUGGCCCGGGCUCGUGGAGCCGCUCUCUCGAUCGAGCCCUGGAGGAGGCGGCGGUCACUGGGGUGCUGAGCCUGAGCGGCCGGAAACUGAGGGAGUUUCCCCGGGGAGCGGCCAACCACGACCUGACGGACACCACCCGGGCGGACCUGUCGCGAAAUCGCCUUUCAGAAAUUCCUAUAGAAGCAUGUCACUUUGUUUCUCUGGAAAAUCUCAACUUGUACCAAAAUUGUAUUCGUUAUAUUCCAGAGGCAAUUUUAAACCUACAAGCUCUAACAUUCUUAAAUAUUAGUCGGAACCAACUGUCAACAUUGCCGGUACACUUGUGUAAUUUGCCAUUGAAAGUCUUAAUUGCUAGUAAUAACAAAUUGGUGUCACUUCCAGAAGAAAUUGGACACCUUAGACAUUUGAUGGAACUUGAUGUGAGCUGCAAUGAAAUUCAAACUAUACCUUCCCAAAUUGGUAACCUGGAGGCCUUGAGAGACCUUAAUGUAAGAAGAAAUCACCUAGUACAUUUGCCUGAAGAGCUGGCGGAGUUGCCUUUGAUACGGUUAGACUUCUCAUGCAAUAAAAUUACCACAAUCCCUGUUUGUUAUCGGAACCUCAGGCACCUACAGACGAUCACCCUAGAUAACAAUCCACUACAAUCACCUCCUGCACAGAUAUGUAUAAAAGGCAAAGUCCACAUAUUUAAAUACCUGAACAUACAAGCUUGUAAGAUUGCUCCAGAUCUGCCGGAUUAUGAUAGGAGACCGUUGGGUUUUGGCUCCUGCCAUGAAGAACUGUACUCAAGUCGCCCUUAUGGAGCCCUUGAUUCAGGCUUCAAUAGUGUGGACAGUGGUGAUAAGAGAUGGUCAGGGAAUGAACCUACAGAUGAAUUUUCAGAUCUGCCUCUUCGAGUAGCAGAGAUUACUAAAGAACAAAGACUACGAAGAGAAAGCCAGUACCAAGAGAACCGCGGCAGUUUGGUAGUAACAAACGGCGGAGUGGAACAUGAUCUGGAUCAGAUUGACUACAUAGACAGCUGCACCGCAGAGGAAGAGGAGGCCGAGGUGAGACAGCCCAAGGGACCAGACCCAGACAGCCUUAGUUCACAGUUUAUGGCGUAUAUUGAACAGCGGCGAAUCUCUCAUGAGGGUUCACCAGUAAAGCCAGUAGCCAUUAGGGAGUUUCAAAAAACAGAAGAUAUGAGAAGAUAUUUACAUCAAAACAGGGUUCCAGCUGAGCCAUCUUCCCUCCUGUCACUAUCAGCAAGUCACAAUCAGCUGUCACACACAGACCUGGAACUUCAUCAGAGAAGGGAGCAGUUAGUAGAGCGCACUCGGAGAGAGGCUCAGCUUGCUGCCCUGCAGUAUGAGGAGGAGAAAAUAAGGACCAAGCAGAUCCAGAGAGAUGCUGUCCUGGACUUUGUCAAACAAAAAGCAUCACAAAGUCCACAAAAACAGCACCCGCUCCUAGAUGGCGUAGAUGGUGAGUGCCCCUUCCCAUCCAGAAGGUCUCAGCACACUGAUGAUAGUGCCUUGUGCAUGUCGCUGUCAGGGUUGAAUCAAGUGGGCUGUGCUGCUACCCUGCCUCAUUCUUCUGCCUUCACGCCUCUUAAGAGUGAUGACAGACCUAAUGCUCUAUUAAGUUCACCUGCAACAGAAACAGGUCAUGCUUCACCCCUUCCUCCAUCUGCUGCACCUACCACUGAUUCUACAGAUUCCAUAACAGGACAGAAUUCAAGACAGAGAGAAGAAGAGCUGGAAUUAAUAGACCAACUGCGUAAACAUAUUGAGUACCGGUUGAAAGUGUCUCUACCUUGUGAUCUCGGAGCAGCUCUAACUGACGGUGUUGUUCUUUGCCAUUUGGCCAAUCAUGUGCGACCUCGAUCUGUCCCAAGCAUUCAUGUUCCCUCACCAGCUGUAUGUGUUUCAGGGACCUGUCCUAGGCCACCUUGCUCUUCCCUUAAGCCCAUAGCCAGUGACGGACAAGCAUGGGGCUGAGCCCUCCUACCUCAAGGAGGGAGUGUCGUGUGGUUCACACUUGUGAGCUCCCUGUGGGAUCAAGCUGAAGCUGAGAAGGAGACAAGCAGGAGGAUCACCUGUGGCUGGGAGUUUAAGACCAGCCUGGGCAAUAUACCUAAAUUAACAAUGGCGAAAUGCAGGCGAAAUGUGGAAAAUUUCCUAGAAGCUUGCAGAAAAAUUGGUGUACCUCAGGACAAUCUUUGUUCCCCUUCCGACAUCCUUCAGCUAAACCUCAGCGUUAAAAGAACUGUUGAAACGCUCCUUUCUCUUGGGGCACACUCAGAAGAAUCCAGUUUUGUCUGUCUCUCUCUGCAGCUUCUGGGUUUUGUGGCAUUUUACUGUACUGUGAUGUUAACUCUCUGUGUGCUUUAUUACUGGCUCUUCCCCGCUCGCUGAAAGAUUGCACUCCGGUGACUUUCUGCCUCAUUCCUGUGCUUGGUAAAGGAGGUUUGUUUCUCAUCCAGAAUUAUUUACAUAAGUGCUUUUUCUCCCUGCUGGCCCUCAAAGAGCUAACCCAUAAAGGAGGUAAAUCCUUUCUUUAUAUUUGCAGAUGAGCACCCCCUCACAUUAGUAAACAUUUACGAUUGCUAACAAAGAGUAAAAGACCAGCAUUUUUUCUCCUGGUCAUCCGUCCAUUCUCCUGGCCUGUGGCCUUGUUUCUCUUACCAUAAAUGCUGAAGCAUUUUUACUAAUACAAUUCUGAACUUGUACUUCGAAUAUGACAUGUAGAGCUUUAUUUCCAAGUCACACAAUACAACUCCCAUCUGGCCAUUUUUCCGUGCCUCAGCACAAGUGUUGAAUUGUGGAGUGACUGAACCUUUGCAGCAGCUGCUCACGAGGAGAACCGUCGUGCCUUUUCUGGUUUUGGCCGCACCCGGUUACUUAGAUUUCUGCUUUGAACUGUGUCCUGAGAUCCUGAAUCCCCGCUUUGUCGGUAGGCACAGGUCCAUAUAAGCAUUUGCGGUCUGGACGUUUCAAAGGUAUUGGCCAUAAUUUUAAUAAUUUUAGUUUGGUCAGAAUGUUCAGUUUGAAGAUCACCCACAUUCCCUAGACUGCUCUUCUGAGCCCAGUCUAUACGCUGUAUGUGCUGCACACGAGCAGAUGGGCUGGAGCUGGCCUCUCAGGGUGGGCACCUUCCAGAUUGUGUUUGUUAUGUGUGACUGAGGUUCACUCCCAGCAUUCUGUUUAAAUUUGGAAUUUAUGUGAUUUCUAACAUAUUCAAACCUUCUUAAUAGUGAAACAGUAGCAGGAGAAGUAUUAGGGCAGCAGUCCCUGUUCUGUGCUCAAGGCAGUGAAUAUUGUCUAGCUCUUUCAGAAUGCGUAGCACUUAGCUGCUAGACGUUAAUGCUGGAAACUAUAAUUGCGGUUAGAUUCUAGUUUCAUAAGUGGUGUUUCUGAAUAUUCAGGAACCUUCUGAACUCUGUUAACAAAAUUGGGAUAAAGGAUGAACUCAAGUGUGAAGAGAGAUUGUGAGGAGCAUAAUAUCCGGUUUAGAAUUCAGCCUGAGGGAGGAGCAUAACAUCUGGGUGUAGAAUUCAGCCUGAGGGGCUCACUGGUUUGGUUUUCUUCCAUAUGAAAUGGGACAGCUAUUUUCACAGGUCAAAAGACUGUUCACUAUUAAUGCUGAAACACUCAACACUGUGAUGAUGAAAACUUCAGUUUUCUGUGUCAGUAGGUGCCUUUCAGACUUUGGGGAAUUGGGUUGGUUAUAUUUUUAAGAUGUCUCAGAGUUGAAACACCUGUUAAAAAACACACACAGGCUCUCAUGUGGUUUAGGGGUUGUAAUUGUACAUUCUCUUGAGAACACACGGCACUCCCUCUAGUCCAGCUGGGAGGUGAGGGUGCCCCAGAAAGCACAGGCUUCUGAGUGUGAACACCGGCCGCGCAGGUCCUAGGGCGCUGCUGAGAGGAAGAGACCAGGGAAUCAGCCUUGGAGAAAGCACGUCUCUUCCGACAGCAAAACACUGGGCAGGUUCAUUUUAAGUAUCAUUUAUCUAGACUUGCAGUUGCACUCAAAGUAUUUCUACAAAGUUGCUAGUUUUUUUAGAUCAAAAGAUUACAGUUACCUCAUUUUAUCAAAAUAAGUAUUAAAUAAAAAGUAAGCACAAGUACCAAUAACUGCCUCAAAAAUACUUGUUAUAUAUUUUAUUGUAACUGGUUUUAUAAAAUUUCCUAGUAAUAUCGUCUCAAUGAAAAGCAAAACAAAAAACAAAAAACAAAAAAACCCAACUAGUUGUUUUAACAAACAUAUAUAAUCUUUUUUUAGUGGCACCAGAAUUCUAUAUUCUGUUCUUUGUAAGAGCAAUCUCUUUUCUUUUUGGAAUAUUUAAUCUUAACAGAAAGCUAGUGAUAAAUGCUGUUCUUAAGAUUUGCCUUUUUCUCUCACAAGAAAGGGUUAACCUAACAAAUUAACGAUGCACACAUUAAGGAAGCGUUUAACUUCCUCAAGCAAACAGUGUCAACACUUCUCACAUGUUGGUAAUCAACAUGUUCCUGCCUAAGCUUACAUAGUAGUUCCCUGGAAUAAUUCAGGCUGUUAAAUACCAGGAUAUUAAAUCCUUUACAUUUUCAAAUACUGCUUUUAAUUCUGUAAUUCAGAUUUUUAAUUCAGACAGGCCCUUCCAUGAAUUAUUCAAAUUAGGGGGAAGUUUCUCAAGAGCUCAGGAUACACUGAGUUUCUUGCCCUAUCUGGUCUGGAAACCCUGGUUUUCACAGUCAGGAUUAUAAUGCAGAUAGCGUAGAACUCAUGCAGGCUGAGUUAUGUUUUCAAACUAUCUUUCAUUCUUGUGGUAGGGAACUUACCCUCAAGUGUAGUAUCUUUUACUCUUGAGCCAUCUGGUAGCGUGGAAUUGUUUUUCUAUUUUUCACCUGCCUAUUUUAUAGACCUGUAUUGACCUUUUAUUCAUCAGGGAUAAAGGAUGUUGCUUUCACCCUGCGGUAUUGUUUUCCCUCUGUUGUAUGUAUAGAUAUAUGCUACUUGUCAAUUUUCCAAUUUUGAAAAUGAUCUGUAUGUACUUUUAGUUGUAUUAAUAAAGUGACAGUGAGUGUCAGACACCAUCUCUCUAACUCAUAUUUACACUGAGGUCAGUUUCCCAGGUACUAAUUUUCAUAUCUAAGUUGAUGAUUGUGAAGGGGAGAAGUGCUUAUUUUUUCCUUUCAGUUCUAUGAUAUUCAUCCGAUUUUCUUUUUUGUUUGUUUUCAUGUUACGUUGUCCCUUUCAGGAGCAAUUAUGUUUGCCUCUCCACAUUUUAGAAGAGAAAGGUUUGAGCCAGGUUGCAGUGACGGUCCAGGCUCUCCUGGAACUUGCCCCACCCAAGCAACAGCAGCACCAGUUAUCUGCUGUUUGAGGAUCCCCAGGACGGUGGGCACUGGCCUGGCCAAAACAAGGAACAGGACACCGUGAUUGCUGCUGCCAGCUGUCUGCUUAAACAAAGCUCUUGUGUGUUCUCAGAAGGGACCGUUCCCAUGAUUCCUAACAGGAAUAUUUUGCUUCAUUUCUCCAUUUUAGGGGAGGUUAUUUCCAUUUCCAUUGAAUUUUUUUACGAAGACACCAUUGGUUUUCUCAGAUGAAACUUCUCUUACUGAAAACCCAGCACCUAACUUGGCUGUGUUUUCCUGGAGAGCAGGCGUGUUUCACGUGCCAGAAAGCACAUCUUCUGUGUUAGGCACAAGCAUGCUGUGCCAUUGUUUUUACCUGGUCUCAAGACAACUGGUCUGCUGGUUUCUAAACUUGGUUGUUCAUUAGACUCUCCUGGAGUAUUUGUUAAAAUACAGAUUCACAUUCAGUAGAGCUGGGGUAAGGCCUAGGAAUCUGCAUUUUCAACAACCAUUGCACAUGUUUUUGUUUUUGUUGGAGAAGGAGUUCUGCUCAGUCGCCCAGGCUAGAGUGCAGUGGCAUAAUCUCAGCUCACUGCAACCUCCGCCUCCCGGGCUCAAGCGAUUCUCCUGCCUCAGCCUCCCGAGUAGCUGGGACAACAGGUGCCCGCCACCAUGCCUGGCUAAUUUUCUUGUAUUUUUAGUAGAGAUGGGAUUUUGUCAUGUUGGCCAGGCUGGUCUCAAACUCCUGACUUCAAGUGAUCCACCUGCCUCGGCCUCCCAAAAUGCUGGGAUUACAGGCGUGAGCCACUGUGCCCGGCCUCCCAGAGUGCUGGGAUGACAGGCGUGAGCCCCCGCGCCCGGCCUCCGAGAGUGCUGGGAUUACAGGCGUGAGCCACUGUGCCCGGCCUCUGAGGGUGCUGGGAUUACAGGCGUGAGCCACUGCGCCCGGCGCCCGGCCCAUUGCACGUGUUUUUCAUGUAGUGGAACCACUGUUCAAAGCUAGAUAUUUGUAUGUUUGCGGGGGAGGGUAAUGGCCCCCUGCAUUUUUCACCCACAUUUAAAAUCAAAAGCUAUAUUAUGAGGAGUUGGACUGUUCUGUCAAAGGCAAAACAAAAAUAAUAUAGAAGGCCUAGGUUUUGCAUAGUCUUCUUUUUUUUAAGAGUUGGGGUCUUGCCGUAUUGCCCAGGCUGGUCUGAAACUCCUGGGCUCAACUGAUCCUCCCGCCUCAGCCUCCCAAAGUGCUGGGAUUACUGGAGUGAGCCAUCGGGCCUGGCCCAGAUUUUGCAUAGUAAAACAGUGAAACAGAUAGAGUUGUAUUUAAGGUCAGUAUUCUAGGCCUCCCUUCAACUGCAGUCAUACCAUCAUAGAAGAUAGUUCUAUGUCAUCCUGUUAUCUGGACAUUAUAAUAAACAACAAGCCCUCUAUACACAGGUUCCAAACCCCGUUAUCUAGACAUUAUCAACAACAAGCCCUCUCUCUAUACAGAGUUUCCAAAUUCUGAAGCUGAUAGCGCACUUGGUCUCACUGAGCCUCCCUCCCCGCCCUCCUGCUGCUCCUCAGACAUCUGGGCCUGCAGACACAUUGCAGUUACAGCACAUACACUUCUAGCUCGGAAAAGCCUAGUUUCUUGUAUUUCUUUCAGGUAACUGCCAGUUUCUGUGGCUGAAUUUAAGCACUUACAGCAUCUUCCUAGCUGGGUGUGGUGGCUCACACCUGUAAUCUCAGCACUUUGGGAGGCUGAGGCGGGCAGAUCACCUGAAGUUGGGAGUUUGAGACCAGCCUGACCAACAUGGAGAAACCCCGUCUCUACUAAAAAUACAAAAUUAGCUGGGCGUGGUGGUGCAUGCCUGUAAUCCCAGCUACUCGGGAGGCUGAGGCAGGAGAAUUGCUUGAACCCAGGAGGCGGAGGUUGUGGUGAGCCAAGAUCGUGCCAUUGCACCCCAGCCUGGGCAACAAAAGCGAAAUUCCAUCUCAAAAAAAGAAAACGCGCCCCAUCUCGCUCCACCACAAGCGCCUUUAUAUACUCAAUGAUGGGUGGAGGAAAAGGGCCCAAGGGCUCACACCGCACAGGAGCCUUUACUCAAGUUUCAGCUAGUUUUCCUUCCCCUGCAUUUUGAACUCCUUUUAGUUGUUGGUGAUAUCCUUUGGUGUUCACUGCCUUUGUAAAACAAGUAAAUAAAGUAAGCGGAAGAUAUCUCUUUUGUUUCUGUAGUUGUUAACUGUUCUGGAUUUUCUUUACAAUGCAUCCAUUUGGGCAUAAUGUUAUCCCUCUUUUUAUCAGGUAAAUGUAGCAUCUAAAAGUAGCUUUGGAUCAAAUCAUGUUGAAUACCUGGUCAAAGUAAUGUUUUCUUCCUUGUUCUUGCAGAGAAACAAAUUCAUCAGAACAUUACCACUUGACCAGGUUUAAAAUUGUAUAACAGGCUGGGCAUGGUGGCUCAUGCCUAUAAUCCCAGCACUUUGGGAGGCCGAGGCAAGAGGAUCACUUGAGCCCAGGAGUUUGAGAGCAGCCUGGGCAACAUAGCAAGACCCUGUCUCCCAAAAAUUAAAAAAAAAAAAAAAAAACCAGGUGUGGUGGCACCUGCCUGUACUCCCAGCUACUCAGGAGGCUGGGGUGGGAGGAUCACUUGAGCCUGGGAGGUUGAGGCUACAGUGAGCCAUGGCUGCACCACUGCACUCCAGCCUGGGCAACAGAGUGAGACCCCAUCUCUAAAAAUAAAUUGUACAACAUCUAACUUCAAUGCCCAAUCUUAUAGAACAAAAGUAAAAUGUCUUUAUGUAAGACCCCAUUAUAUUUACAGUUCCCAACAGACCCACCAACUCUUAUAUACCCUUAUAUAACUUGUUUAGAAUUUAGCCAUGUGCAUUUUUAAACUGUGUUUGUCAACAUUAAGCCUCAGUACAGUCUCCAAAUUAUAUGCCACCAGAAAUGAAAUUCAGCAAAGGACAGGAUUGUUUUUAACAUACGCAAGCCAGCCUGGCCAACAUGGUGAAACCUUGUCUCUACUAAAAAUACAAAAAUUAGCUGGGCGUGGUGGUGGGCACCUGUAAUCCCAGCUACUUGGGUGGCUGAGGCACAAGAAUCGCUUCAACCUGGAAGCCGAAGGUUGCAGUGGGCUGAGAUUGUGCCACUGCACUCCAGCCUGGGCAACAGAGCGAGACUCUGUCUCAAAAAAAAAAAAAAAAAAAAACCCACCAAACCAAAAAUAUACUAUGCAAGGAAUAAUUCUAGAAGACAUUACAUAAUGCAAUACUUGCAACAUUUGCAACUAAUUUUCCCAUAGGGAUAAAUGGAAAUUUCAACUUAUUUCAAAUUUUGCACAUAUUAUGAAACCUUAUUAAUGUAUUUUUAUCAAACUAAAUCAGAUUUGUAUUUGAAUUGUUAGGAAAAACCAUGUGCAGUUUUGGCUGAUAAUUGAAGGAAAAAUAUCAAAUGCUUUGAAUUUUUUUUCUCUUUUUUCAAACCCUCUGCAGAGGUAGGAAGGUAUGAAUUUCUUUUUUAUGUCAAGAUGCAAAAACAAAUCAUGAUGCUUUUGUUGGGAGAAUUUUUGUAUUCAGUAUUUUGUAUGUACCUUUUUUUUUUUAAAUUGGAAAGCACAAUUCGGUUUAACAUUUAGCUUUGCUUGACUCCAGUGUAAGAUGAAGAUGACCUUGUCACAGCUCCCCUGACCUGAAGCAGAGCCCUUCCCAUCACUGACAGUGUUGGGGGUUGAGAGCCCCCCAGCAGAGCCCUUCCCAUCACUGACAGUGUGUCGGCAGCUGAGAGCUCCCCCAGCAGAGCCCUUCCCAUCACUGAACAGUGUUGGCGGCUGAGAGCCCCCCAGCAGAGCCCUUCCCAUCACUGACAGUGUUGGGGGCUGAGAGCCCCCCAGCAGAGCCCUUCCCAUCACUGAACAGUGUUGGCGGCUGAGAGCCCCCCAGCAGAGCCCUUCCCAUCACUGACAGUGUUGGGGGCUGAGAGCCCCCCUAGCAGAGCCCUUCCCAUCACUGACAGUGUCUGGGGCUGAGAGCCCCCCCUAGCAGAGCCCUUCCCAUCACUGACAGUGUUGGGGGCUGAGAGCCCCCCAGCAGAGCCCUUCCCAUCACUGACAGUGUCUGGGGCUGAGAGCCCCCCAGCAGAGCCCUUCCCAUCACUGACAGUGUCUGGGGCUGAGAGCCCCCCCUAGCAGAGCCCUUCCCAUCACUGACAGUGUCGGGUUGAGAGCCACCCCCAGCAGAGCCCUUGCCACGUACAGAGAUUUUCUGUCAGCAGUUUCCCAGUAUUUCAGACUCAUAAUCUGUGUUUAGCACUCCAGUGUUCUCUUGUAAUAGCCAGGUCUGGAAACGACCCAUGGAAAGAGGGGCCUUUGUAUUCUGCUAGAACACAGAGCAUAGUAGUAGAUCACUUUUCUGAAGAGCUUUUUAAAAUACAGCUAAUCAAGGAGUUUGCGAUUUCUCUUACUUUCUACAGCUCAGCAGUGACUAAUGAUGUGUGACUAUGCGAAUGAGUUUGAUGAAUUCGUAAAAACUAAGCGCUUAAAUGGUUAUAGAAAUGAAAACAUGGAUAUUUAGAAGCCUUUCUAUAUACACAGUGCAGUUGAGAUGGUUUACAGCAAAUUUCGUUUUAUUUCUGAAAAUGUUGUAAACAUGUAAUUAGUGAAAGAUUUUGUAAAACAUUGUCCUGUAUUUUUGUCUGUAAAUAUAUUGCAUAAGUUCUAAGUAUAAAUAUGUCAGUAUCAUGUAUGUUAUUUUAAAUUGCCUGUACGCCACUUUACACAUUGACAUUCAAAUAAAAGCCAACACUUCAGUGGCGUGUAAUAAAA